UUACGGCCAUAUCUUAUUGAAACACCGGUUGUCGUACGAUCAUCGAAGUUAAGCAACGUCGAACCUGGUUUGUACGUAGAUGGGAGACCAAUGACGAAUACCAAGUGCUGUAAG